rfam:Dehalococcoides ethenogenes 195, complete genome.
GUUACCUUUAAGCUGGUCCUGAGAGGCCGGUAAGGGAUUUUAGACAAAGAAGUGUCUUUUGACCUCUUGCCGGCAAAUGUUGGUAAGAGGUUUUUUUAU